rnacentral:rRNA from 1 species
UACGUAGGGGGCAAGCGUUGUCCGGAAUCAUUGGGCGUAAAGAGCGCGUAGGCGGCCCAGUAAGUCCGCUCUGAAAGUCAGGGGCUCAACCCCUGGAUGCGGGUGGAUACUGCUGGGCUAGAGUCCGGAAGAGGCGAGUGGAAUUCCUGGUGUAGCGGUGAAAUGCGUAGAUAUCAGGAGGAACACCGGUGGUGUAAACGGCUUUCUGGACCAUAACUGACACUGAGGCACGAAAGCGUGGGUAGCAAACAGG